AAGUUUCUCUAGGAGAUAAUUGGAUGUCACCCGAAGACUAUGUGGUAGUUUCAUUUGAAAAUGCUGACUUGGUUAUCCUUGAACUGUAUGUUGGACUUUAGAACAUUGUGUAUGGAACUUGAGCUUUGAAUUAGGCUACAUUCCAAUGCUCUUCUAUCUAGCAGCCUAACUCUGCUAUUAGAGUUCAACUUAUCAAGAACAAGAA